rnacentral:rRNA from 1 species
AAUAGAUACCCGGGUAGUCCACGCCGUAAACGGUGGGCACUAGGUGUGGGCGACAUUCCACGUCGUCCGUGCCGCAGCUAACGCAUUAAGUGCCCCGCUUGGGGAGUACGGCCGCAAGGCUAAAACUCAAAGGAAUUGACGGGGGGCCCGCACAAGCGGCGGAGCAUGUGGCUUAAUUCGACGCAACGCGAAGAACCUUACCAAGGCUUGACAUACACCGGAAACGUCCAGAGAUGGGCGCCCCCUUGGUGGUCGGUGUACAGGUGGUGCAUGGCUGUCGUCAGCUCGUGUCGUGAGAUGUUGGGUUAAGUCCCGCAACGAGCGCAACCCUUGUCCCGUGUUGCCAGCAGGCCCUUGUGGUGCUUGGGGACUCACGGGAGACCGCCGGGGUCAACUCGGAGGAAGGUGGGGACGACGGUCAAGUCAUCAUGCCCCUUAUGUCUUGGGCUGCACACGUGCUACAAUGGCCGGUACAAUGAGCUGCGAUACCGCGAGGUGGAGCGAAUCUCAAAAAGCCGGUCUCAGUUCGGAUUGGGGU